rnacentral:tRNA from 1 species
GCAUUGGUGGUUCUGUGGUAGAAAUCCCAACUUACAGUGGAAGACCUGGGUUCAAUUCCCGGCCAAAGCC